AGCGUCACAGCCACAGUCUUCACAAAGCAAGUCAGCUGAAUCUGAGGACAUAAAGAAAAGUGAUGGUGAAGAAUCAAAAACAGCCGGUCUGGAAAAGAAACCACAGAGAGACGUAGAACAAGAUAGUGGGAUCUCAAAUGAUAAAGGAACAAAAGAAGCAUCACAACCUCAAAAUGAACCACCAGAAACUCAGAGUUCUGAAAACAGUCCAGCUGCAGAAUCAGGCAAGGACCAAACGCUAUCCUCUGAGUCCAGUGAUGUAGAGAACUCACUCAGCAAGUCAUCUGAAGACAAAGCACAGAAAACGGCCACAGCAAAGUCUGAAAGAAAACAAGUGGCUGAAAGUGUGUGGCUGAGAUGAUGAUGAUAAGGAAAACAAAAACAUGGGUGAUAGCGCAAAGGAUGUCAAAAAAGGAGAUGAAGAAAGAGACUCUGAGCAAAGCAAUGGAGCAACUAAAGAAGAGCAGAGGGGAACCAUGGUGUACGAUGGAAACAGUAAAGUAUGACCGGGUUGAAGCUGUGAACUUUAGAGGUCAAAUACAAUACAAUAGAGACAUGGUUGUUAAUUUGCUGUAAUUAUUUUGGUGCUUUGAUAAUAGAAAGACGGCAUGACAAGAUAAAUUAAAAUACUCUUUUUUUUUAGUACAUAAUUUGAUCCUCAGAAGUUUUGCCAGUACUAAUAUCUAAGUUUAGUUUGCCCAAAUUGUUGGUUGUAAUUGUAGGCUGAA